GGCCGAUGACGAGUCACCGGGCCGAGCCGGCUGGCACCCGGCCGUGACGAGCCCUAUGAGUGCCGAGGCC
rnacentral:snoRNA from 1 species